AGGACUGCAGGUAGGGCUGGGAAAAGGCACAGCCAGGACACAGCCCAGACCGUCUGCCUGAAGGCCCCAGAGAAGCUCCUAACUGCCGUGUCAUCCUGCCUUUCAACAAGGGAGAAAAACACAGGUUCACCUGUGCACAGAUACACGCAUCACAAAGCAAAGCAUACACAUACAUCCAUCACACAUGUACACAUGACCCACACAACACACGCAGCCACACACAGACACACACCCCCACUUAUAAAUGUAUGUGUACACACAGAUGCACACAUGCACCACACACAUGCAUGCACAUGCGUUCAUCACACAUGUACACACGAUUCACACAAUGUACACACAACUCACACAAUUACACACCCACGUACAGACACAUGUCUCACCCAUGAAUAUAUGUGUACACACAGAUUCACACAUGUACAGACACAUGCACUAUACAUACACUCACAUACACAUGCAUUCAUCACACAUGUACACACGACUCACACAAUGUACACACACACACACACCUCUUACCCAUAAAGUACGAGUAGACACAGAUGCAUGCAUGCACAUA
rnacentral:lncRNA from 1 species